UGCGCAGAGCGCUGUGCGUGCGCGCUCGCUCGCGUGCGCGCGUCCGCGGUAGUGACGGGCAUGGCGGUGUGUGCUCGGCUCUGCGGCGUGGGCCCCGCGCGUGGGUGCCGCCGCCGCCAGCAGCGCCGCGGCCCGGCCGAGACUGCGGCGGCGGACAGUGAGGCGGACACGGACCCCGAGGAGGAGCGCAUCGAGGCGGGGCCGGCGCGUUGCUCCCUGCUGGAGCUGCCUCCCGAGCUGCUAGUGGAGAUCUUCGCGUCGCUGCCCGGCACCGACCUGCCCAGCCUGGCGCAGGUCUGCAGCAGGUUCCGUCGCAUCCUGCACACCGACACCAUCUGGAGAAGGCGCUGCCGCGAGGAGUAUGGCGUUUGUGAGAACCUGCGGAAGCUGGAGAUCACAGGCGUGUCUUGCCGGGACGUCUAUGCCAAGC
rnacentral:lncRNA from 1 species